GGCUCUUGAGAGACCUUGGCAGUGCUUGGAACAUUUUAUUUUUUUUUGAAGGGGAUAUGCUGUCGGCCACCUCAAGCCCAGGCAGGUAGGAUAAUCGGCCCCACAGUCGCCAACAGGAUGACCAGCUGUCUGUCAGCACUGGGUGCUCUUGCUAUUCCCUAAGAGCUGCUGUAGGAACCUCAAGUCUUCAGAGACACACAAAAAAAGAUUUUCUGACCUCUCUCCUGAGAUGGUUCCCUAAGCCUCAGAUACAGCAAGAGUUGUGAUGGACCAGUGGGCUCCUGCAAUCAGUUCCUCUCUGUAUUUCGUCCAGCAGUGGCUUUCUGUGGCUGUUUCCAUCUGCUGCAAAGAGAAGGUUCUUUGAUGAGGAAUGGGAGCUGCAUUUAUCAUUGGGUGUAAAGGUGUUUUGCCAGCCUGAAUGUCUAUGUACCACAUGCACAUGUUGGCAGUGCCAACAGAAGCCAGAAGAGGGAGUCAUGCGCUCUGGGACUGGAAUUGUAGCCAGAUGCAAGUCAUUAUGUGGAUACUGAGAAUGAAACCCUGGUCAUCUGGAAGAACAGCCAGUGCUCUUAACUGCUGGGCCAUCUCUCCCUGAUUUUGACACAGGGUCUUUUGCUGGCCUGGAGCUCACCAAAGAAGGCUAAGCUAACUGGCCAGAAAGCCCCAGGGAUCCUCUUGGGUCUGCCUCCCCAGUGCUGAGUGCAGACCUGAACCACCACAGCUGGCUUUUUAUGUGGCUUGUGGGAGACUGAAGUCAGGUCCUCGUGUUUCCCCUGUGAGUAUUGAAUGUGACUGCAGAUCUGAGGUUCAGCUGGGAAGAGAGAGUGGUGUUCAGAACAGCCUCAGCUUGACUGAUUCAUCAACGUUCAGUCUGUGGCCCUCCCUCGAAGUGAGGGGACACUGUGAAGUUGUACUAUCUCAGCCUUUGCUCUAUUGAGACAGGCUCCAGAAAUGCUGUGCUCAGCCUCCUCGGUCAGAUUGCAGAUGCCACGCACGCACGGGCUUUGGGGUCCUGAUGAGAUGUCUCCGUUCACUCUCUUCGUGGAGUUCACGUCUGAGUUACACCCACAGCAAUGCUUUCCCAUGGGUCCUGGUGUUUCUGGAAGAGGCCUGGUCCCACCACAUGGCAUCAGAUAAAGGUCACUGCCUCUUGCUGUCC
rnacentral:lncRNA from 1 species